rnacentral:lncRNA from 1 species
GGACGGACCGUUACGGCGCUAUUGAAGGGGACGGACCGUUACGGCGCUAUUGAAGGGACGGACCGUUACGGCGCUAUUGAAGGGACCCACCGUUACGGUACUAUUGAAGGGACCCACCGUUACGGUCCCAUUGAAGGGACCCACCGUUACGGUACCAUUGAAGGGACCCACCGUUACGUUGCUCAUUGAAGGGACCCACCGUUACGGUGCUAUUUGAAGGGA